rnacentral:lncRNA from 1 species
AUAUUAUUUGAAUAAUAGCUAUUACAUCUUAGUAUUCAAAAUAAAUAUGUUAAUAUUCUUGAAUUGCCUACAUUAGAUCUUGGGAGUGCCCAAGUUACUAUAUGGUUUACAUGUACUAGUUACCAGGUGUAACAUCCCUAAAUUUCCACUCUACAUCUUAGCAAUGUGGAAUUAUUCCAGCCCUGUUUCUGUAUAAGUUAUAUUGUAAAGUCUGUGAAUCUGUCAGUCUCACUGAAUAAAGUUAUGAAACCACAGUAAUGAUCAACUAUACUUUGUUGCCAGUUACUUUAUCAUAAUAUACUUUCAAUUUAGAGAAAUGAUAUUGUACACAUCCAAUGCAUUUCCUCUAUAAUAUCCUCUAGCUUCACAGGCACAUGUUUGCACUUUCCUCUUGUUAAAAUUGCAGACAAGAAUAAUUUUGAUUUAUUGGUGACAUCUAAUAUAGCUAUGUUUAUAUUGUUGCCAAUAAAAUGACUUACACAAUUGGUUUUUGUUUAUAUAAUCUUUUCUGAGGAGUCAGUCACCUGUGUUAGGACAAGGUACAUUCUGCUUAUUAAAAUGAACUCUCAGGAUCUAAGAACAUUCAGCUCUAUCUGUCCUUGAUUGAAUUGCAAAAUGUGCUUCACACUGCAGCCGUGCAUGAGAAUAAUUUAUAUUAUCUAUCAAUAGGCUUUCAUUUCUAUAUUCUUCUGGCUACAGAGCUGUAACUAGAGAAACCCCUGGGAAUAGCAUGGGCCUAUUAGCGAUCAAGACAGCCAAUGUUGAAAAGGCAAUGUUAAUUAAAUUAAACAAUCAUUAACCUAAAGGGAAAAAAAUAAAAAGAAUCAAUAAAAACUCUAUUUUAGUUGACUUAUAUAUGUAGGGAGCAAGCCCAACAGCAGUUUGUUUGCUAGACCAGUAUUUUGUGUCUUAUUAUCAGGUUUUCUAUGCAGAGUAAGAAAAGCUUGUGGCUAAGUAAUGGAAAAUGUAACAAAGGCUAAAUGUAGCCUAAGGAAAUGAAAUGAUGUAUGAAAAUUAAUAAUUAACUGGCUCAUCAGAUGAAUUAUAACACUAGAUAGAGUCCAUUAAUAAUAUUUACUAAGGAAAGGCUUUUGGCUCUAAAUAGACAUUAUGGAACUUGUGUUUUUGGAAUUUUCUUGAAUGGAUGAGUUAACAUUGCUUUGUUUAAUCUUUUAAUCCAUGAGGAACAGUGCAUCAAGCUGUGGGUAGAAGGUAGAAUCAUGAUCUUGUACUUUGAUUAAAGUCAUAGUUUUUCCAGAAAUCUAAUAAAAAUCAUUAUUAAGUGAUUUUCUGCCUUGGUUUCCUUAGUUAAGUAAUUUCCUCUCUGACCUGAUGUAGAGGAGUAUGUUUUAAGAGUUUUCAAGUGGUCAAAAGGAAAGCUUUUUAAAAUUCAUGUUGAUUCAUUUAGCAGAACAAGUGAACAUUUUCACUGUUUGAACCAGUGGCGUAUUACAAAUCUAAAUAUAUCAAUAUGCCAGAUUCAGAAAAGUAAUGUUGGAGAACUUGAUUAAGUUUUUAAAUGGAAAGAUGCUCUUCCAGUGGAAUCUUGCCAGCUAAGUUAUGAUACUGAUUAGUUCUGGCAAAGUGAAGGAAAAUUUAACACUAAAAUUCAUUUUUCAAGGUGAGUGUUGUCCUCCAGCACAUUGCUGACUUGAAAGCCUCCUAUUAGCUCUUGCUUUGAUUGAAUUGGCAGAGAUUACUAUUAUUUUUGCUUUCAUUUCUACCCUGUCCCCUUGAUUUAAGGGUCUUAGGUGUAAAAUAUACAUAUUUAUCCUUCAUCAUAGCGAGUAUUUUCCUUUAUCUUCCUUUUCUUAAUUAUCUGGACAGACAAAAUUUCAAAAGAUGAUUGAUUACCACCAAAUUCUUCAUUUUGUGGGUGAAAAACUGUCCAGAGAAGUUAAAAAUUACUUAUGACAAGUAGAACUCAGGUGUCUAACUACUAGUUGAGUACUCUGUUCACUCUGACUCAGUGAGGAUGUGUCUUUCCUAAAAGUUAGGUGUUUAUUCCUUUUUUUUUACUAAGUGGUCUUAGAAUUGUAUGUGAUCAUGUGGCCUGGCCAAAAAGCAUAUACAAUAUUAUAAUAUGAAUAGACAGAACCGACUUUUAUGUGUUGGUAUAUAAUGCUUGAAAAAUCUGUUGGUAUAAUUGAUGCGAGAAGUGGAUUAUUAUAAAUAUUUUCUCUUACAGUUUAUUUUAUUUUUGUCUUGAGGCUGGUUUUUCUCAGCUCACAUGCCAUUGACUUAUUGGUUUUUCUUUAUGGUAUUAACCACUUUACUUUCUGGCCAUUGCUUUUUUAGUAAUAAAAUUUAAGUACAUUUUUGUUUUUGUUAUUUUUACUUUCAACUUAAAUCUAUUUAAAAUAGGAGUAUGGUUUAUAAAAAAUAAAUAUAAAAUAAAUAUCCAGUCUAAGACAGGCAAGUAUGAGUUUGAUACUUUAAGUUCUUAGCACUUUAGUUAUUCGUUCUUACAAACUCGCCUUCUUAAUGAUCUAACCUAAUGCUAAGUACUUACCUAUAUGUUUUUAAUCCAGAUUUUUGAUGAGAAUUCGUGCUUGUAUAUGAUCUUGCUGCCAAAACUGACUCCCUCAUUUUUAAAAACCUUGAAAUGUGCAUAGUCUGCAAAUUUGCAGACGCUUGUCACUUGGACCGUGGUCUUAGUGAGUCAUAUUUCCAGUCAUGUUGGAUAAUUCCUCUUUUUCAACAAAUUGCCAAUACAACGUGUUUAUUUUGCCUUUUUGAGGAGGUUGGUACUGAAUAAGGGCUUUCUUCUGUAGGGUUCCAAGUGCCUCACAAAAUACUGUUUUAUCAAUGAGUGAAUAAUAAAUGGCUAAUAUUUCCUGGCAAAGUACAGAGACAUUAAAAUGACUUGCCCACAAUCAACCUGUGAAUCAUUAGACUAGCUGGUAAUAUACUUGAAUUCUUUUAAACGGACACAG